rnacentral:lncRNA from 1 species
AGCUUAAGCGGAAAUUGAAGAGUAAGGUGAGGGAGGGGGAAGAGCUAUCAAACUUUAGAGGCUUAAUUCGCCCGAAGAGAGAAAGCUCACUAAGAACUAGCUUGGCCGUAGUUCCUCGUAGGAGAUAGACGGACGAAGUCGGGGCUCGUCCCCGGUCAAUAUUGGAUCAAACAAAACAAGCAAUAGGGGCCGUAGCACUGACCUCUUU